rnacentral:rRNA from 1 species
AUGCAUUUUAGGAGAACUUUGAUAGGGGAUUCAAGAGAACUUUGGGAGCAUAUCAAGGAAGCUUGUAGCUCAGUGACUUUGAAUGAAGACAAAGAUGAGGUAAAAUGGACACUGACUAAGAAAGGGAUUUAUACUGUAAAAUCCUUCUACAGACAUCUGAUUGAAAAUGGUAUUAAAUACCCACACCUGUACAUGUGGAAAAUUAAGAUGCCACCUAGAGUCAAAGUCUUUAUGUGGUUGGCUCUUAGAAACAGUAUUCUUACAAAAGAUAAUCUGCUUCGCAGGGGGUGGAAAGGUGAUGAUAAAUGUCCUUUCUGUGGACAUAAAGAAAAUAUAAACCACCUCUUCCUCUCUUGCUCUGUUGCUAGGUUACUAUGGAACAUCUUAAAAUGUGCUUUCAAUUUAAAAAGCAUCCCAGAAGAUCUUGACCUGGUAAUGAGAACCUGGGUGAAGACUUUUGAAAAAGAUGAAAGGGGUUUGGUUAUGAUAGGUAUCUCAGCGAUUUGCUGGACUAUUUGGAAGUUGAGAAAUAGUAUUAUAUUUGAUAACAACAGGGUGAAUGAUCCCUGUGUACCUGCUAACCUGCUUCUCAAAAACUUGCAUGAUUGGAAUGUUUUGCAGACAAACCCCGUAAGAAGUAAGAUGAUGGAGGCUGGAGUGAAACAAGUCGGCGAGGUGGCUGGAGAAGUGUUUAAAGCAGCUCAUGGAUGGCGCCUUAAGACUGGGAGAAUCCUGGGGUGA